UUCCAUCCUACCUUUCUUCAUUAUUUCUUUUCUCUCCCUCUCUUGAUCAGGAGAGAGUGGCAGGGAUUUCUGAGGCUGAAGGGAAAAUGCAGUUCAUUCCAAUUGAAAAUUUGACAGUGAAUGCAGCCAUCUUACAGACUUGCCUUGAAAGACUUGCAUGCCUGCUCAUCUGCCCCAGUUCUGCAACCGGUUCUUGACUCGUGAACGAGUCAAUCUUUCGUUCGUUAUCUGGCUCGGCUCGGUGUUCAUCAGUUCUCUCUUCAGAUCAGCUGAAGAGUUCAGUCAGUGUACUGUUUGAGUAAAUGAAUUACUCCGGGAUAUUGGUUUAUUUUGACUCAGAGGGAGUGUCAGCCACAUUAAAAAAGUUAACCGCUUAAGUCAUUUGUGGAUUAAUGCUUAUUGGAGAUGCGAACCGUUUCAAACGAUUCAGUUCGAUUUGGUGAACUGGUUCAAGAAGAUCCGGUUACAUCGAGUGAUUCGUUCGCGAACCGGAUAUCACUAAACUGCAGUGUUGUGAACGCUCACAACAGACCCGGAAGAGAAGACAAUGCUGAAUAAAGUCGUAGUUUUUGCUAUUUUUGGACCAAAAUGUAUUUUUGAUGCUUCAACAAAUUCUAACUGACCCUCUGAUGUCACAUGGACUACUUUGAAGAUGUUUUUAUCACCUUUCUGGACAUGGACAGUAUACCGUACAUACAUUUUCAAUGGAGGGACAGAAAGCUCUUGGACUAAAUCUAAAAUAUCUUAAACUGUGUUCCGAAGAUGAAUGGUGGUCUUACGGGUUUGGAAUGACAUGAGGCAGGUGAAGCGUGUGUUGGGAUUCAGAGAGAAGAUUCCUAUGACUUUGAGCUGCCCAACGCUGUAGCGGUGAACGUGCAAGACCCUGCGUGUGAUGCGGAGUGGACCAUUGACCAAUUCACAGCAUUCCUGGAUGGAAAUUCAACUCACUGUCCUCAUCCCUUCAAAAAAGUGACUCGUCGGGGGAUCAGUGUGUCUUACUGUCCAGCUUCAGUCAAAUUCCACGUCUCUUGUCCAAUAUACACCAAAGUCCUCACAUGUUGUUGCACAAAUUCCACCAAAAAUCCAGUUUAUAACACAACCCUGCCAUCUGGAGAUAUGUCUUCCUCUGCCAUCAAAACUGAUUCAUCAGUGAGGAUACACUAUUGUGCCAUUGCUGUUGCUGUCACGUUUGCCUUAACCCUCGUCAUCUUGGCUUUCCUCAUCUGCAGGACAAACAGCAGUGCAAAAUAUGCUCCUACAAGAGCCUCAGCUGAUGGACAAAACCAGCCUUGUUCAGUAUAAUUAUCCUAAGGAGGCAUCUGAACUUGCACUAGAAACACAUGGCGUGGAGUCAUGACAACACAUUAUCCGAUAAUGUAACAUGUAUUAUAUUAUAUUAUAUUAUAUUAUAUUAUAUUAUAUUAUAUUAUAUUAUAUUAUAUUAGAGAAAACAUAAGCACUAAAUGAAACAGUAAAAUAUCUGAAUUUUACUAUAUAUAUAUAUAUAUAUAUAUAUAUAUAUAUAUAUAUAAUAAAUAUACUAAAUAAAAAUUUAAUUAUAUUAUAUUAUAUAUUU
ensembl:lncRNA